rnacentral:rRNA from 1 species
UAAUGCCUAGGAAUCUGCCUGGUAGUGGGGGAUAACGUCCGGAAACGGACGCUAAUACCGCAUACGUCCUACGGGAGAAAGCAGGGGACCUUCGGGCCUUGCGCUAUCAGAUGAGCCUAGGUCGGAUUAGCUAGUUGGUGGGGUAAUGGCUCACCAAGGCGACGAUCCGUAACUGGUCUGAGAGGAUGAUCAGUCACACUGGAACUGAGACACGGUCCAGACUCCUACGGGAGGCAGCAGUGGGGAAUAUUGGACAAUGGGCGAAAGCCUGAUCCAGCCAUGCCGCGUGUGUGAAGAAGGUCUUCGGAUUGUAAAGCACUUUAAGUUGGGAGGAAGGGCAGUAAAUUAAUACUUUGCUGUUUUGACGUUACCGACAGAAUAAGCACCGGCUAACUCUGUGCCAGCAGCCGCGGUAAUACAGAGGGUGCAAGCGUUAAUCGGAAUUACUGGGCGUAAAGCGCGCGUAGGUGGUUUCGUUAAGUUGGAUGUGAAAUCCCCGGGCUCAACCUGGGAACUGCAUUCAAAACUGAC